rnacentral:rRNA from 1 species
UAAACUCCUGUUGUUGAGGAAGAUAAUGACGGUACUCAACAAGGAAGUGACGGCUAACUACGUGCCAGCAGCCGCGGUAAAACGUAGGUCACAAGCGUUGUCCGGAAUUACUGGGUGUAAAGGGAGCGCAGGCGGGCGAUCAAGUUGGAAGUGAAAUCCAUGGGCUCAACCCAUGAACUGCUUUCAAAACUGAUUGUCUUGAGUAGUGCAGAGGUAGGCGGAAUUCCCGGUGUAGCGGUGGAAUGCGUAGAUAUCGGGAGGAACACCAGUGGCGAAGGCGGCCUACUGGGCACCAACUGACGCUGAGGCUCGAAAGUGUGGGUAGCAAACAGGAUUAGAUACCCUGGUAGUCCACACCGUAAACGAUGAUUACUAGGUGUUGGAGGAUUGACCCCUUCAGUGCCGCAGUUAACACAAUAAGUAAUCCACCUGGGGAGUACGACCGCAAGGUUGAAACUCAAAGGAAUUGACGGGGGCCCGCACAAGCAGUGGAGUAUGUGGUUUAAUUCGACGCAACGCGAAGAACCUUACCAAGUCUUGACAUCCUGCGACGAUGCUAGAAAUAGUAUUUUCCUUCGGGACGCAGAGACAGGUGGUGCAUGGUUGUCGUCAGCUCGUGUCGUGAGAUGUUGGGUUAAGUCCCGCAACGAGCGCAACCCUUAUGGUCAGUUACUACGCAAGAGGACUCUGGCCAGACUGCCGUUGACAA